UGUUAGCCAAUGGCCGCCUGCGGAGGGGAAGCCGGGGCUCCUGUAUCUGGGGAGAACCGACCACAGGCAGCAGCUGCCUCCCAACACCUGCCCUACUGCGAGUCUGUAAACAGUGCCGGGCCCAGGAGGCUUCCUCCGCAGAGCAGGGCGGAGGGGGCGGGGCGGGGCGCGGCGGGGUGUGUGUGUGUGUGUGUGUGUGUGUGUGUGUGUGCAGACCAAAGGGGGUCAUUUCCCAAAUGGAUUGUACAGAAGCUUCCCACCCCAGUUCUCCUUUCCCCAGAGGAGGAGUCAAGGCCUAAAGUGUGGGUCAUCCCAGGAACCUUAGGGCAAAGGACUCUAAUCCCUACUGGAUAAGCCCAGGCAGUACUGGGUCACCCUCCGCGGUCCACCUGCCACGAAGUGGAUGGCAUUGCUUCUCGAGGGGAAAGCCAAGAGCAGCCAGAAACCCAGGCACUGAUAUUAUUACUGUUUAACUAGAGAAGAGGAGACCGAGGCUCUGGAAGGUGAAGCCCAGGAUCUACAGGUGUACCACUACUGAGUGGUGGAGCCAAGUUCAAAUCCAGAAUGAGAAAUGAGAAACAAGAAGAAAAAUGAAGCCACAACUGGACCCAUGGCUUCUUCUAAUUCUUCCUGCCCUUCCUCAGUCCUCUGGUCUGCUGGACUCCAGGAACUUCUACACAAGGCCACAGUUCACAUUACAGAAAGUCAAAAAAGAUCAGAAAAAUCUGAGAUCUCAAUCUUCCACAUCUUUAAGUUCAAGCUCGGGUUGUCUCUCCUCUAUGAAAUCCUUGCCAUUUGUCCUGAAGGAACUUUACAAAAACCUUGUGAACUCUCAAAGGAAGGAGUUGCUGCUCCCUCCCUCCCCAACUCCCAGAUGGGGUUUUGUGUCCCUAUGUCUUCCAUGAAUUUUCUUUUUUGUUUAUGUAUCAUAUUUCCAAUCGACUACAAGCCCCUAGAGAUCACCUCUGAAUAACAUCUGAGUCUAAUACAGUACCUGGGUCUGAAUCUGACAGCAAGAGGGCUGGGGGACAAGGUCUUUUGUUCUAGGUCCUCGCGUGACCAGCCCCUCCUCUGCCCUUUGUGCCUUUCCAGUUGGAGACAUCUCAAUCCUGUAGGAACGAACCAACCAGAUGGAUUGCUUCAUCCCUCACUGCUGAUUUCCCAGCCCUGGUGCAAAACACAGGAACUCCCUGUGUUCAUUGUGACCCACUUCCUUUCUUCCCUGGACCUGCCAGGGUGGAGGCUUAGGUCCCAGUGGCUUCUCUUGUUUUUCCAAAAGGCAAACAACCUCCCUGUCAUCGUUGCUGCUUGACCAAGAGACUUUCCCCGUGUCACCUCCCAGGCGGGGAAAACAAAAAAUGGAACGCUGAGGGUGUCGUGGCAUGAGAUUCAAAGACAAGGUGGAACAGGACAUACAUGCACUUGUUAAAAUUAUAGUAUUAUUGGAAGGUGAGGGAUUGGAGUGGAUCGAUGCUGAGCUUGGAGUCCAGGGUCUGUAUCUGGAGUCUCGUACGGGGCCAGCUGUGUGCGAUGACUUGGAAGACCUUUUUUCUUGGUUGAGUGGCAGCUUUUGGUCUGCCCUUUGAUGCCCUAAGAUGGGUCCUUGGGAAAUGCCCAGGGUUGGGGGAGGGCAGAGAUGAGGAAAUAAAGUUUUUGUCCUUA